UCGGGUAUGGUGUAACGGCUAACAUUGCCGCCUCUCAUCGGAGACUUUGAAUGGUUACGCGGCAGCUCGGGGUUCGAUUCCCCGUACCCGAA